CUGAAUUUAUCUGAGCGCUGGA
rnacentral:miRNA from 1 species